UACGUAGGGGGCAAGCGUUGUCCGGAAUCAUUGGGCGUAAAGAGCGUGUAGGCGGCUCGGUAAGUCCGCUGUGAAAGUCCAGGGCUCAACCCUGGAAUGCCGGUGGAAACUGUCGAGCUAGAGUCCGGAAGAGGCGAGUGGAAUUCCUGGUGUAGCGGUGGAAUGCGCAGAUAUCAGGAGGAACACCAACGGCGAAGGCAGCUCGCUGGGACGGUACUGACGCUGAGGCGCGAAAGCGUGGGGAGCGAACAGG
rnacentral:rRNA from 1 species